UUGGCCAUGGCAGCUUCAGCUCCUCGGAGACGGCACUCUCCUAUGUGUUUGCUGUAGAUUAGAUCUUCAGGAUAAAAUCUUCAGUAAAUAUGAAGUACUUUUCGCAAAUAAUCAGAUGACAAGGAUCACCAAGAUUUGCUUGAGGUUUUUUUUUACACAAACCCCUUGUAUAACGUGGCAGAGUCUAUAGCACAACGUAAUAGACUAUGGUUGGUUAGUUGAGAAACUUGCUAAGGGAGGGGUUUCCUGACAACUGGGAGUAGAGAUUUUAUAAGAACCUACUAACUAGGAUGCAAUACUAAGAACCUAAGCAGAAAAGCCUAGUGAGAAAGACUUUGCAUUUCUGAAGUGAAAGUACAACUGUUAAUAACCUCAAGCUAUAAGAAUGAACCGGUGUUUCCAGUUCAAGAUCAUUGCGCUGUGUCUGUGUAUCCUGGGUAUUCAGCAAUGCUUAAUAAAGGCAGAACCACAGGUACUUGAUGAAGG